rnacentral:lncRNA from 10 species
UGAAAACAUCACAUUCUGGUUGAUUUCAUUUACAUGAAUUUCUAGAAGUAGUAAUUUAACACAAUAUGAUAGAAAUUCCAGUUGUGGUUGCCUCAGAUGGCGGGGGUGGGAGGAAGACACGGAGAGGAAGUGACUGCAAAGAGGCACAGGAGAACUUCCUGAGGUUAUGAAGAUUUCCUGUAUCUGGUCUAGCAUAGUGGUUAUGUGUCCGGAAUUGGUGGGUUCUUGGUCUCACUGACUUCAAGAAUGAAGCCGCGGACCCUCCCAGUGAGUGUUACAGCUCUUAAGGUGGCGCGUCUGGAGUUUGUUCCUUCUGAUGUUCGGAUGUGUUUGGAGUUUCUUCCUUCUGGUGGGUUCGUGGUCUCCCUGGCUCAGGAGUGAAGCUGCAGACCUUUGCCGGGUUACAGCUCUUAAGGCGGCGCCUCUGGAGUUGUUCGUUCCUCCUGGUGGGCUCGUGGUCUCGCUGGCUCAGGAGUGAAGCUGCAGGCCUUCCCGGUGCUGAUAAUGUAUUGGAAUCUGAUGCCGGCAAGACAGUUUAAAUACACAAUGGACACCACAUUCCAAAAAUAAUAAAUCAACCAAGACUUGUCAGCAUCAUGAAGGUGAACUAUUCAGCUAUGUAAAAUAAUAUUUGCAGAAUAUCCGAAAGCUUGUACUUCUGCUUACCUCUACAAGGAUUUCUGACCACCUGGAUCUGUGCUAAGUAGCAUUUCAAUGGCCAUACUGUAGAAAGUUCUACAAGAUGAGCAUUUACUGGGUUGUGAGGACACCAUGGCAGUCACUCCAAGAUCUUAAAUAAUGGGUUAAAAUGGAUGUGAUCUCUUCUCAGCUUCAUCCAGUAGUAUACUACUACAGCAUGCAAGGGUUUUACUCUGUCUUUCAGCCUGGAGUGCAGUGGUGUGGUCAGGCUCACUGCAGCCUCAACCUCCCAAGGUCAAGUGAUCCUCCCACGUUAGCAUCCUGAAGAGCCGGGACUACAGACAGGUGCAUGCCACCAUGCCCAGCUAAUUUUUGUAUUUUUUGUAGAUACAGGGUUUCACAAUGUUGCACAGGCUGGAUGUUGAGUCUUAUAAUCUAUGAAAUCCCUCUAUAUUUACUUACAUUUCCUUUGAUUUCUUUCAUCAACAUUCCAGUUUGCCGCAUACACUCCUGCUCAUGUUUUGUUAGAUUUGCUCGUAAGUAUUUUCUUUUCUUGAGUGAUUGAAAAUGACAUUUUAAUUUCAUUGUCAACAUGUCUAUUACUGGUAUAUAAAAGUUCAGUUCAGCUUUGUAUGUUUAUCUUGCAUUCUGUAACACUACUGAAAUCACCUAUUCGUUCUAGGAGUGUUUUUCAUAAUUUCUUUUUUUUUUUUUUUUUUUUUUGAGACGGAGUCUCGCUCUGUCGCCCAGGCUGGAGUGCAGUGGCGCAAUCUCGGCUCACUGCAAGCUCCACCUCCCGGGUUCACGCCAUUCUCCUGCCUCAGCCUCCCGAGUAGCUGGGACUACAGGCGCCCGCCACCAUGCCCAGCUAAUUUUUGGUAUUUUUAGUAGAGACGGGGUUUCACCGUCUUAGCCAGGAUGGUCUCGAUCUCCUGACCUCGUGGUCUGCCCGCCUCAGCCUCCCAAAGUGCUGGGAUUACAGGCGUGAGCCACUGCACCCGGCCGUUUUUCACAAUUUCUUGAGAUCUUCUAUGUAGGCAAAUAUGUCAUCUGCAAAUGGACACUGUUUAUUUUGUCUUUUCCAAUGAACAUGCUUUUUAUUCCUUUCUUUUCUCUAUUGUACUGGCUAGAACUUCCUGUCCUAUGUUAAAUAAGAAUGGCUGAAUAAAAGCAGACACGCUAGCCUUGCUGUUUAUCUGAGGAGAGAACAUUCAGUCUUUUACCAUUGGUAGAUGUUAACUGCAGGUUUUUUAUAGAUGUUCUCUAUAAAGUUCAGGAAGUUCUCUAUUCCCAUUUUUCUGAGAGUUUAUAUCAUGAUUAAUGUUGAAUUUGGCAAAAACAUUGAAACACUUACACACAUACAUGUAUGUAUAUAUUUGGAAUCAACUGAUAUGAACAUGAGAGUUUUCUGCUUUAGCUUGUUAAUAUGGUGGUUUACAUUACUUUAUUUUCAAAAUCAAGCCAGCCUUGUAUCUCUAGAUUAAAAUCCACUUAAUCAUGGUUUUUUUUAAUAUAUUACUGAUUUAUAUUUGCUAAUAUUUUACUCAGG